CAGGCCUAACACAUGCAAGUCGAGCGGUAAGGCCUUUCGGGGUACACGAGCGGCGAACGGGUGAGUAACACGUGGGUGAUCUGCCCUGCACUUCGGGAUAAGCCUGGGAAACUGGGUCUAAUACCGGAUAUGACCACAGCAUGCAUGUGUUGUGGUGGAAAGAUUUAUCGGUGCAGGAUGGGCCCGCGGCCUAUCAGCUUGUUGGUGGGGUAAUGGCCUACCAAGGCGACGACGGGUAGCCGACCUGAGAGGGUGACCGGCCACACUGGGACUGAGACACGGCCCAGACUCCUACGGGAGGCAGCAGUGGGGAAUAUUGCACAAUGGGCGAAAGCCUGACGGAGCAAUGCCGCGUGGAGGAAGAAGGCCCGUGGGUUGUAAACUCCUUUUCUCAGAGAAGAAGACAUGACGGUAUCUGAGGAAUAAGCUCCGGCUAACUCUGUGCCAGCAGCCGCGGUAAU
rnacentral:rRNA from 1 species